rnacentral:lncRNA from 1 species
AGACUACUGAAAAGCGAUGAUGUGUCCGAGGACCUGCUGCAGGACGUCACUCACCACGUCCUGAGUGAGUCAGAUCUGGACAAUGACAACAUGCUUUCCUUCUCCGAGUUCGAACAUGCAAUGGCCAAAUCUCCGGAUUUCAUGAACUCCUUUCGGAUUCACUUCUGGGGGUGCUGAUGUGAAGUCACCUGGUUCAGCAGCUUCAGGGAAGACUACCGGACACCCCUUCCCCGCCCCACCCCUGUAUCCAGGCACUGUGGAAUCUGAUUUGAAGUAUGACUCAACUCUGUCCCUCCUUCACCUCUAGAAUAUUGUUUACUAAAUAAAUAUGUGUCUACCCA